rnacentral:lncRNA from 1 species
CCUCAGUUACUUGAUUGGUAGUUUAGGCUAUUGAUCAUGGUGACACCUUCUCUGAGGUUCUCGAACGGAUACAAUUUUACUUCUGCUUUUAUGGGUCAAAGCAGGUCACAAGACCAGACCAGAUCCAAGAUAUGAGGAAAUAGACUCUACCUCUUGAUGGAUAGAGCUACAAAUAAUUUAUGGCCAUGUUAAUGACCUACCACAAAUAUCAAAUAAAAGAAGCAGUUUAUAAAUGAUUUGACUCAUAUUUUCUAACAUUAUUGAUAUACAUACAUACACAAACAUACCCACAGAUAAAAUUCUUUAAAGAUAUAUGUACAGAUGUUAAAAGUGUUUUUUUUUUUUUUUUGUCUUUUUGCCAUUUCUUGGGCUGCUCUUGUGGCAUAUGGAGGUUCCCAGGCUAGGGGUCCAAUCGGAGCCGUAGCCACUGGCCUAUGCCAGAGCCACAGCAACGCGGGAUCCGAGCUGUGUCUGCAACCUACACCACAGCUCGCGGCAACGCGGGAUCGUUAACCCACUGAGCAAGGGCAGGGACCGAACCUGCAACCUCAUGGUUCCUAGUCGGAUUCGUUAACCACUGUGCCACGACGGGAACUCCAAAAGUGAUUAUUUUGUGGGUGAUAAGAUUAUGAUUAUUUUUGUGAGAUUUUUAAAAUGAAUGGUAUUAUGAUUAUCUACUUUUUCUACAAUUAAUCAAUUUUAUAAUGAAGAUAAGAGAAACAACUCAAAAUAUUAAUUUUUGUGUUUACUGUGUAUAUCUCUAGUCUCUCUCAUGGGUGUUGUUAGGGUCGUUUUUCUCUUCUCUAUCUUAAGAGAGAACUAUCAUACACAGAUUGUAGUGCAUAUUUCUCCAUCUUCUUCAGAAAAACAUCACAAAAUAUUUUUUUUAAAUUAAGUGUCCUGCAGAAAUUAAUAUAUACUUGCUUAUGGUCUUCCUUUUAUUAUACUCCUAGAUUUACUUACAUAGGAUGAGGGUACUUAUCUUGUUCCUCAUGUUACAUGUUGGGUUCUAAUGAUUACUGCUUCUUUUUCUAAUGAUUCACAAAUUGCCUCCCAAGAUCUCUUUAAAUAAUUAUUUCUUUAACAAUCCUUGCUAGAAUUGAUGCAGAUCAUGUUAAGUUCACCAGAGAGCACUGAACAAAAUUAUAAUUUAAGUAGGAAGACCAUAACUCAUCUAUAUGAAAUAAUAAUUACUAGUAUUUGAGGGCUUGUCUUGGUAUAUAAGCCCCCCUGCCCCUUUCCUGGAGUGUCUUCCUUUUGAUUUCAUGUCUUUAAAUGCCCUCCAUGACUUAGGCCAGCCUCAAGUCCAAGUCUUCUUGAAAGCGUUCCUGGGUGUUACUAGACCACACUGAUUUCUUUUUUUCCUAAGUUUUUAUUGCCCUUACUGCCUUCACUCUCCAACCUAGUAUUUCAUAUAUUUUGCAAUGCCCUCAAGAGUAGGGACAAAUGUCUUCUAUAAUAUCUACAUAAUAAUUUUAUUACACAGUACUAGGCACCCAUCAAUAGCUUAGCAAACACUGAUUCACGUGACUGUUAAGAAUUACUGUUUUCAGAGUUCCCAUCAUGGCUCAGGGGUAACGAACCUGACUAGAAUCCAUGAGGACAUGGGUUCAAUCCCUGGCCCCAUUCAGUGGAUUAAGGAUCUGGCAUUGCCGUGACUGUGAUGGAGGGCAGCAGCUGUAGCUUUGAUUUGACCCCUAGCCUGGGAACUUCCAUAUGCCAUGGGUAUGGCACACACGCAAAAAAAAAUUUACUGUUUUUGCUUAGAAAUUUAGUUUUUCUGAAAAUGUUUAUCAUCUUCUGAGUUCUGGAAUUUCCUUCUUUUCUGACUGUUCUGCAUUGUCCUCUUAGACCUCCUUGCCCUGUGUUUGCCCUGAAUUUAUACUUAGAAUUCCUAGAAUACUGCCUUCGUUUUUCUUUUGUAAAUAUAUCCCCACCAUCUCUCUUUUUGGCUGCCAUGUGCAGUAGCUUAAUGUGGGGUCUUAGUUCCCAGACCAGGGAUUGAAUCCAGGCUACUGUGGUGAAAGUCCUGAGUCCUAACAACACCAGGGAAAUCCCUAUAUUUCUUUUUUAAUACUGAUAACUUUAUGAGAGUGGAGUAAAACAUCAAUGGAGAUAAGGAUAACCAACAUGAUCCAUUUCAAAAUUUUAAUUUCAUACCUCAGAAUCUGAAAAUUAAGUUAGCUCCUAUUUAUUAAUUUCAGAAUCCAGGAACAGUGUGAGGGAUAGCAGUGUUUUUUUUUUUAUUUGAAAUAAUUUUAUGAGAAUGAAAGCAUAUCUGGUAAUGAACAGAAUAAACUGUUCUAUUUGGACUCUAUCUCCUACUUUUUAAAAAAAACUUAUUGGGAUAUAGUUGACCUACAAAUUUGGGUUAAUUUCAGGCAUAUAGAAAAGUAAACUAGAUAUCCAUUCCUUUUCAGAUUCUUUUUCAAUAUAGGUUACUCAGUAAUUACUCAGUACUGAGUAAAUUUCCCUGUGGAUCCCCAUUACUGUCUAUUCCAUAUAUAUUAGUGUAUAGAUGUCAGUACCAGUCCUGUAAUUUAUCCCCCCUGGCUUCAUUUUCUCAUUUGGUAAACAUAAAUUUGGUUUUGAAAUCUUAUGUCUGUUUCUGUUUUGUAAGUUCUAUUGUAUCUUUUCCAUUAUAUUCCACAUAUGAGUUACCUCAUAUGUUAUUUGUCUUUGCCUGAUUCACUUCACUCAAUAUGAUAAUUACUAGAUCCAUUCAUGUUGCUGCAAAUGGCAUUAUUUCAUGAUUUUUAUGACUAAUAUUCCAUUGUAUAUAUUAUGCAAUCCUCUAAUGAUGGAUAUUUUGUUUGCUUCCAUGUCUUGGCUAUAGUUAAUAUCUCUGCAGUGAACAUAGGGGUGCAUGUAUCUUCAAAUUAUUGUUUUCUCCAGAUAUAUGGCCAGGAGUAGGAUUGCUGAAUCAUAUAGCAGUUCUAUAUUUAAUUUUUUAAGGAAUCUCCAUGCUGUUUUCCAUAGUGGUUUCACCAGCUUACAUUCUGUCCAACAGUGUCAGAGGGUUCCCUUUUCUCCAUACCCUCUCCAGCAUUAUUGUUUGUAGACUUUUUGAUGGUGGUUAUUCUGACUGGUGUGGGGGGGUACCUCAUUGUAGUUUUGAUUUAUAUUUCUCUAAUAAUUAUAAUGAUGUGGAACAUCUUUUCAUGUUCUUUUUGGCCAUCUGUCUGUCUUUGGAGAAAUGUCUGUUUAGAUCAUCUGACCAUUUUUUAAUUGGGUUGCUUUUUUAUAUAAAGCUGUAUGAGUCUAUCUCCUACUUUAAACUUGUUCAGAAAACAAGAACUAAAUUAUAUCACUCAUAAUCUGCAAAUAUCAUAUUUCCUUUCUAUUUUGAAGUUGCUUGGAGAACAUAUAAAUCUGUGCACAAAAACUUAAACUCACAAAAAAUAUUAUCCACUACAAUUUCAGAAUUAUAGCUAAAGUUUCAAAGACUAAUUUAAGGGUAUCUAUUAUAAUAGAUUAUUUACUAUUUAUUAGAGCAAAAUGUUUUAUUAAAUACUAUCAGCUAUCUGCAAGGUACAUAAUCCUUUUAGUGUAAUCAUUGAUGCAAAUAAGUUUGCUGUCUUGGACUCUGGCCAUAUUCCUUAGUGCCAAACAAAACUCUUCAACAAAGGGAGAUAUAAAGGAAUUAGAAAAGUUUAUCUUUGGUAAAAUCUUGUAAACUACUAAAGUUCUUUCAAAAACUGACAUGUCAUAUUAAAAAAAUGCAUACCAAAGUUCAGAAUUAUUUUCCUUUCUUUGUUUUUUGUGAAGAAGAGUUGAUAUAGUAGUAAUUGAUUUUACAACUUCCAGGAUAACUGUUAAACAGUGCUUAGAGAAAAUAAGGAAAACCAAAUUUCAGUAGUCUUUGCUCAGCCCUCAUUGAUAAUAGAUCCACAACAUAUAAUUUUCUCCAAUGUGUUUUACAAAAGGCCUAACCUGGGGAACAUAGGAUUAAUUCACCAAAAGGAUAACAAAUGGAAACUUUUCUAUUUCGAUAAUAACAAAAAAUACAUUUUCCAACUUUGUUUUAAACAAAUUAUUUUUGUUUAGCUAUAAACAAACACCUUUUCGAAUAAAUUUAAAAUUACUUUCUCUAAUGUCAUUUUCCUAUCUCUACCUUAAGAAGUAUUUAGAAACCAAAAGCAUAAAUACUAUUCUGGGAAUUUAUUCUUGCCUGUUAACUUUCUUUCUUUGAUAAAACACAUUUUAAUGACCUGGUAAAAGAUGAGCUUCAAAGUAUGCCUUUGGGACUUUGCUAUAGACAAGCUUCUGGGCUAGCUUUGUCAAAUCCUAUCUGGUCUAUCCUCAGAGCUGAUAGAAUUAGACAUUCUAAAUAAUAGAUAUUAAAAAGAAAACCAGAAAACAAUUAGUCUUAUUUACUGGGUCAAUAAGGAAAGCAUUAAUAUUCCCAUCCUUUUUCGCUACUAUAAGCUCUGUGAGAUGACUCUCUCACUUCUGCAGUGUUUCCACUUUUAGGUGAGAUUAUGUGUCUGAUGAUGGAUGCAGUGUUAAUGACUCCCCUUGGUCUAUGGCUCUCAUUUCUAUGCCACUGGGACCAUGUGACAGAUUUGGUUCUUGGGAAUCUCUUCCUCACAGGGUAAGAAAAAUAAGCCAGUCACCGUAGUCCUUGUCUGUGACCGCUCAUUCUUCUCACUGAUCCCUCAAACCUAUAGGAGGAUAUAAAUUAGGAUAUAACAGGAUAAGAAGAAGUAAUGAAUUAAGCCCCAAAUAUCGGUGGUUUAAUAAAAUAAAGAUUUUUUUCUUGCUUACAUUUCAUGUCCAGUGAGGGGCAGAAGGUGUGGGCUUCUGCUCCAUGUAGUUGCUGUGAGAUUCACUUUGGCUGAGCCACCAUCAUUUGUGAUACUUUCAUUUCAAAUUGUGGUUGGUUGCAUGGUUGUUUCAACAGAGAAGGAGCAAGCUGUAGGAUUGUGCAUUGGCUUUUAAAAGCUUUGACUAAGAAGUAACACUCAUCCUUCUGCUCACAGCCCAUUGGUCAGAAAUAGUCCCAUUCACCUGCUUAAGUAACUAUAAAGGGACUAUGACAUGAGAUAUUUGGUGAGCAAUAAACAUCUCAGACAUAAUAUUCCCUUUUUGUCAUUAAACAUUUUCUUUCGUAUUCUCUUCACAUAUAGACUAAUGCAUUAAAAAGUCAAAGUUCCAGGAGUUCCGGUUGUAUCUUAGUGGGUUACCAACCAAACUAGUAUCCAUGAGGAUGCAGCUUCUUGAUCCCUGGCCCCACUCAGUGGGUUAAGGAUCUGGCAUUGCUGUGAGCUGCAGUGUAGGUCAC